rnacentral:rRNA from 1 species
GGUUAAGCGACUAAGCGUACACGGUGGAUGCCCUGGCAGUCAGAGGCGAUGAAGGGCGUGCUAAUCUGCGAUAAGCGCCGGUAAGGUGAUAUGAACCGUUAUAACCGGCGAUACCCGAAUGGGGAAACCCAGUGUGACUCGUCACACUAUCAUUAACUGAAUCCAUAGGUUAAUGAGGCGAACCGGGGGAACUGAAACAUCUAAGUACCCCGAGGAAAAGAAAUCAACCGAGAUUCCCCCAGUAGCGGCGAGCGAACGGGGAGGAGCCCAGAGCCUGAAUCAGCAUGUGUGUUAGUGGAAGCGUCUGGAAAGGCGCGCGAUACAGGGUGACAGCCCCGUACACAAAAGCGCAUGUGCUGUGAGCUCGAUGAGUAGGGCGGGACACGUGGUAUCCUGUCUGAAUAUGGGGGGACCAUCCUCCAAGGCUAAAUACUCCUGACUGACCGAUAGUGAACCAGUACCGUGAGGGAAAGGCGAAAAGAACCCCGGCGAGGGGAGUGAAAAAGAACCUGAAACCGUGUACGUACAAGCAGUGGGAGCACAGGUUUACCUGUGUGACUGCGUACCUUUUGUAUAAUGGGUCAGCGACUUAUAUUCUGUAGCAAGGUUAACCGAAUAGGGGAGCCGUAGGGAAACCGAGUCUUAACCGGGCGUUAAGUUGCAGGGUAUAGACCCGAAACCCGGUGAUCUAGCCAUGGGCAGGUUGAAGGUUGGGUAACACUAACUGGAGGACCGAACCGACUAAUGUUGAAAAAUUAGCGGAUGACCUGUGGCUGGGGGUGAAAGGCCAAUCAAACCGGGAGAUAGCUGGUUCUCCCCGAAAGCUAUUUAGGUAGCGCCUCGUGAACUCAUCUCCGGGGGUAGAGCACUGUUUCGGCUAGGGGGCCAUCCCGGCUUACCAACCCGAUGCAAACUGCGAAUACCGGAGAAUGUUAUCACGGGAGACACACGGCGGGUGCUAACGUCCGUCGUGAAGAGGGAAACAACCCAGACCGCCAGCUAAGGUCCCAAAGUCAUGGUUAAGUGGGAAACGAUGUGGGAAGGCCCAGACAGCCAGGAUGUUGGCUUAGAAGCAGCCAUCAUUUAAAGAAAGCGUAAUAGCUCACUGGUCGAGUCGGCCUGCGCGGAAGAUGUAACGGGGCUAAACCAUGCACCGAAGCUGCGGCAGCGACACUGUGUGUUGUUGGGUAGGGGAGCGUUCUGUAAGCCUGUGAAGGUGGCCUGUGAGGGUUGCUGGAGGUAUCAGAAGUGCGAAUGCUGACAUAAGUAACGAUAAAGCGGGUGAAAAGCCCGCUCGCCGGAAGACCAAGGGUUCCUGUCCAACGUUAAUCGGGGCAGGGUGAGUCGACCCCUAAGGCGAGGCCGAAAGGCGUAGUCGAUGGGAAACGGGUUAAUAUUCCCGUACUUGGUGUUACUGCGAAGGGGGGACGGAGAAGGCUAUGUUGGCCGGGCGACGGUUGUCCCGGUUUAAGCGUGUAGGUGUGUGUUCCAGGUAAAUCCGGUUCACUUUAACACUGAGGCGUGACGACGAGGCACUACGGUGCUGAAGCAACAAAUGCCCUGCUUCCAGGAAAAGCCUCUAAGCAUCAGGUAACAUCAAAUCGUACCCCAAACCGACACAGGUGGUCAGGUAGAGAAUACCAAGGCGCUUGAGAGAACUCGGGUGAAGGAACUAGGCAAAAUGGUGCCGUAACUUCGGGAGAAGGCACGCUGACACGUAGGUGAAGUGAUUUACUCAUGGAGCUGAAGUCAGUCGAAGAUACCAGCUGGCUGCAACUGUUUAUUAAAAACACAGCACUGUGCAAACACGAAAGUGGACGUAUACGGUGUGACGCCUGCCCGGUGCCGGAAGGUUAAUUGAUGGGGUCAGCGCAAGCGAAGCUCCUGAUCGAAGCCCCGGUAAACGGCGGCCGUAACUAUAACGGUCCUAAGGUAGCGAAAUUCCUUGUCGGGUAAGUUCCGACCUGCACGAAUGGCGUAAUGAUGGCCAGGCUGUCUCCACCCGAGACUCAGUGAAAUUGAACUCGCUGUGAAGAUGCAGUGUACCCGCGGCAAGACGGAAAGACCCCGUGAACCUUUACUAUAGCUUGACACUGAACAUUGAGCCUUGAUGUGUAGGAUAGGUGGGAGGCUUUGAAGUGUGGACGCCAGUCUGCAUGGAGCCGGCCUUGAAAUACCACCCUUUAAUGUUUGAUGUUCUAACGUGGACCCGUAAUCCGGGUUGCGGACAGUGUCUGGUGGGUAGUUUGACUGGGGCGGUCUCCUCCUAAAGAGUAACGGAGGAGCACGAAGGUUGGCUAAUCCUGGUCGGACAUCAGGAGGUUAGUGCAAUGGCAUAAGCCAGCUUGACUGCGAGCGUGACGGCGCGAGCAGGUGCGAAAGCAGGUCAUAGUGAUCCGGUGGUUCUGAAUGGAAGGGCCAUCGCUCAACGGAUAAAAGGUACUCCGGGGAUAACAGGCUGAUACCGCCCAAGAGUUCAUAUCGACGGCGGUGUUUGGCACCUCGAUGUCGGCUCAUCACAUCCUGGGGCUGAAGUAGGUCCCAAGGGUAUGGCUGUUCGCCAUUUAAAGUGGUACGCGAGCUGGGUUUAGAACGUCGUGAGACAGUUCGGUCCCUAUCUGCCGUGGGCGCUGGAGAACUGAGGGGGGCUGCUCCUAGUACGAGAGGACCGGAGUGGACGCAUCACUGGUGUUCGGGUUGUCAUGCCAAUGGCACUGCCCGGUAGCUAAAUGCGGAAGAGAUAAGUGCUGAAAGCAUCUAAGCACGAAACUUGCCCCGAGAUGAGUUCUCCCUGAGACUUAGAGUCUCCUGAAGGAACGUUGAAGACGACGACGUUGAUAGGCCGGGUGUGUAAGCGCAGCGAUGCGUUGAGCUAACCGGUACUAAUGAACCGUGAGGCUUAACCUU